CAGUAGCCGCGGUAAUGCGGAGGGGGCUAGCGUUAUUCGGAAUUACUGGGCGUAAAGCGCACGUAGGCGGAUCAGAAAGUCAGAGGUGAAAUCCCAGGGCUCAACCUUGGAACUGCCUUUGAAACUCCUGAUCUUGAGGUCGAGAGAGGUGAGUGGAAUUCCGAGUGUAGAGGUGAAAUUCGUAGAUAUUCGGAGGAACACCAGUGGCGAAGGCGGCUCACUGGCUCGAUACUGACGCUGAGGUGCGAAAGCGUGGGGAGCAAACAGGAUUAGAUACCCCAGUAGUCCCUGUCUCUUAUAA
rnacentral:rRNA from 1 species